AUUGAACGCUGGCGGCAUGCCUAACACAUGCAAGUCGAACGGCAGCAUGAGUGGAGCUUGCUCUACUUGAUGGCGAGUGGCGGACGGGUGAGUAAUAUGUAGGAAUCUACCUAGAGGAGCGGGAUAACUUAGGGAAACUUAAGCUAAUACCACAUAAUCCCCACGGGGGAAAGCAGGGGAUCUUCGGACCUUGCGCCUUAUGAUGAGCCUACAUCGGAUUAGCCAGUUGGUGGGGUAAAGGCCUACCAAGGCGACGAUCCGUAGCUGGUCUGCAGGGAUGACCAGCCACACAGGGACGGAGACACGGCCCAGACUCCUACGGGAGGCAGCAGUGGGGAAUAUUGGACAAUGGGCGAAAGCCUGAUACAGCAAUGCCGCGUGUGUGAAGAAGGCCUUAGGGUUGUAAAGCACUUUCAGUUGGGAGGAAGUUGUAGAUGCUAAUAUCAUUUGCAAUUGACGUUACCCACAGAAGAAGCACCGGCUAACUCUGUGCCAGCCGCCGCUGUAA
rnacentral:rRNA from 1 species